UACGAAAGGUGCAAGCGUUACUCGGAAUCACUGGGCGUAAAGCGCACGUAGGCGGACUCGUAGGUCAAUUGUGAAAUACCUGGGCUCAACCCAGGAACUGCAGUUGAAACCACUUGUCUUGAAUACCUGAGAGGGUGGGGGAAUACCUGGUGGAGAAGUGAAAUGCGUAGAGAUCAGGUGGAACACCGGAGGCGAAGGCGCCUGCCUGGCAGUGUAUUGACGCUGAGGUGCGAAAGUGCGGGGAGCAAACAGG
rnacentral:rRNA from 1 species